CGGAAGCUUGGAUGGGUGGGGUUAUGGAUACACAAGUGAUAAGUGAACUGAGUGCUGGGAUUUCAGGCAUGUGCACAUACUGAGUAACUGUUUAAUCACUGCCGCAUACAUGAAGACCUUUGAAAGUAAGACGUGGGUUGAAGGCUGCCCCGAAUGACUGUGCGUCCAUGUUUCUGUCAUGGGACCAUGCUGGACUUGUUCUUUGUGUCCUGUGGAGCAAAUGCUGAGCCCAGUCACCCACCACCAGCAGCAAGGAACACAAAGGAAAGUCUUAAUGUAAUUAGAAAGCUGUGUGUCAGCACACAGUGGGGUGGGGCGUUUGCCAGCUAUGCCAAGGACUGGAGAGGGUGGGGACCUGAGACUCUAGGUCCUUCUUAGGAGUCUACCUGAGAAGAAUUCAGUGGAAAAGGUCCCACCAAGGAGAUGAUCAGGGUUCAGGAUUGGCUGUGCUUGAGGAGCCUGGAGGACAUUUCCUGAGGAAGAAGAACCCCUGGGCCAAUGACGGCCUCAGGGUCCCUGAGCCUGUGUGACAUCUAGUUCUGAUGUCUAAGCCCUGAUCCCUCAUCUGUGCUUCUGCUGGUUUAAUCUCCCGAAUUUAUUGUAUGUCAAGAUGUCUUCAGUGAAGAAGCUCAUCAGUCUUCCAUGCACAGAGCCCACUGCAGUGAACAUCCCUGUAUACAGGGGAGGGUCUGAAGCCUAUAGAGGCUGGGAAGACAGGCAUGUCCCCUCCUGUGGCUCUGGUAAGUCUCUCCUGGGCCAGCCCUCCAGCUACCUGACCCAUCUGGUUUUUGAGGGCCAGUAGGUAAGGUGCAGAUAGGGAAGGGAAGAGAUGAGAUGUGGUGUUAUCAGAGGAUUGUUGGCUUCAGCGGCCCAGAGGUACAAGGGUCCAUCUGGCAGAAGCUACAGUAGCUAGAGCCAGCCUGGCAGCGACUAGCCUAAAUAAGGUCAGGGCUCUCUGAAAAGCCAUGUUGGUCUUGCCAAUUCUAAGUCCCAUGACCAGGUCUGCUGGGCAUGCCCAGGAAGAGACUGGCUGUGGGUAGUAGGGGUAGCCACUCCAGAGGAUGGGGCCAGAUGGGGCUCUACAUAUGCCUGUGGCAGGUGCAGAGAUGGAUUAGCAAUGGGCACCGAAUGCCAGACAGGCACCGAGUUAUGUCGGGAUUGGGGUUUACCGGGGGUUAACACUCGUUGCUGUUGGCCGUUUAGUGAACAAUGCCUGCUCCCGACUGGCCCACGGGAUUUGAAGAGCUAAGCUGGACCUGUGAGCUGAGCUUCCUUCCAGCUCCCUUUUACCAUCCCCGAACAACUCGUCUGUGAAGCCUUGAAGUUCAGGCAAGAGAACUUGAAGAACCACCUUGCCUCAGCUGCUACAUCUCCUGUCAGCACAAGUGUCACAUCUGUCCCCACCAUGCUGGCCUGUCUGCAUCCCCCUGGAUCCUCAUGGCAUCUCUGGUCUGGGCCUGGGUGAUGUCAACCUUCCUUGUUUCUAUGCAUCCUUCCUGAGAUGAAGGCUCUACUCUGAAAGUAAAGGCUAUGGGACAGUCUCUGUAGGGUGAAUGGAAAUGGCCACCACAGGGGCUGGUUGAAGGCUUGUGGCACUAUGGAGGUGACCUUCCUUCUGGUUUGGUAGGGGACCUUCAACAGAGAUCUUCACUUUGUCAUGGGUGCUUUGGGGCUGGAGUCAAGCUGGCUCCUCUGGGUCCCAAGAUAAGUCCUGGCCUACACAAGGGAGCUUCUCUGUAGCAUUUGAUGACACUUCCAAAGAGAAUCAAUUUUCCAUCAUCACAAAUAAAGAAACCUGAGCCCCAGGCUCACCCAUCUUGACUGCC